rnacentral:tRNA from 3 species
GCCGAGCUUUUAAUGCAGGAUAGAGCAAAGGACUGAAAAUCCUUGUGUCCCCGGUUCGAUUCCUGGUGGCACCA